rnacentral:rRNA from 1 species
UCUCUGUUUCAAUUUCCCGAGUAGAACGGAACACGUGAAAUUCUGUUUGAAUCUGGGAGGACCACCUUCCAAGGCUAAAUACGUGUCAUCAUCCGAUAGUGGACUAGUACCGUGAGGGAAAGGUGAAAAGAACCCCUGUUAGGGGAGUGAAAUAGAAUCUGAAACUGUCUGCCAACAAGCGGUAGGAGGGCUAUGUUUGAGUUUACUCAAAAAUGCCUGACUGCGUACCUUUUGCAUAAUGGGCCAGGGACUUAUCUUCAUUAGCAAGAUUAAGCCGAUAGGUGUAGUCGUAGCGAAAGCGAGUCUUAAUAGGGCGCUAGUUAAUGGAGUUAGACCCGAAGCGGGACGAUCUAGCCAUGGGCAGGGUGAAGCAUCAGGAAACUGAUGUGGAGGCCCGAACCAUUGAAGGGUGAAAACUUCUUGGAUGACCUGUGGUUAGGAGUGAAAGGCUAAUCAAGUUCCGUGAUAGCUGGUUCUCCCCGAAAUAUAUUUAGGUAUAGCCUCAUGCGUUCUCCUCUGGGGGUAGAGCACUGAUUGGACUAGGGGGUCGAAAGACUUACCAAACCCUAUCAAACUCCGAAUACCAGAGAUAGUAGCAUGGGAGUCAGUCUAUGGGUGCUAAGGUCCAUAGACGAGAGGGAAACAACCCAGAUCGCAAUCUAAGGUCCCCAAAUUUAGACUAAGUGGUUAAGGACGUGAGUUUUCAUAGACAGCCAGGAGGUAGGCUUAGAAGCAGCCAUCCUUUAAAGAUAGAGUAACAUCUCACUGGUCGAUGAGAAUUUGCACCGAAAAUGAAUCGGGGCUAAGUCUAAUACCGAAGAUGCGGAUUGUAUGUUUACAUACAGUGGUAGGGGAGCGUUCUUAAUGGAAUGAAGCAUUACCGUAAGGAGAUGUGGACUAUUAAGAAGUGAGAAUCCUGGCAUGAGUAGCGAUAAAAGUGGUGAGAAUCCACUUCACCGUAAGCGUAAGGGUUCCUGGGCAAGGCUCGUCCUCCCAGGGUUAGUCGGGACCUAAGGCGAGGCCGAAAGGCGUAGUCGAUGGAAAACAGGUUAAUAUUCCUGUACCACCUGUUAGGAGUGAUGGGGUGACGGAGAAGGAUAGAUCAUCCGUGUUUUGGAUUACACGGUUCAAGCUCGUAGGAUUAAGAAAUUGGCAAAUCCGUUUCUUUUAUAGUCUGAGAAGUGAGUACGAGAGGCCCUAGGCCUCAUAAAGUGAUUGAUUCCAUGCUUCCUAGAAAAACCUCUAAAUUUUGAUUAACAGGUGCUCGUACUGUAAACGGACACACGUACGCGGGUAGAGUAUACCAAGGUGUUUGAGAUAAUUAUGGCCAAGGAACUCGGCAAAAUAGCUCCGUAACUUCGGGAUAAGGAGUACCUAUAUUAAGUGAAGGAUCUUGCAUCUGGAGCUGAAAUAGGUGUCACUGAAAUGAUGGAAGCGACUGUUUACCAAAAACACAGGCCUGUGCUAACCCGCAAGGGGAUGUAUACGGGCUGACGCCUGCCCGGUGCUGGACGGUUAAGGGGAUGGGUUAUCCUUCGGGAGAAGCUUAGAACCGAAGCCCCAGUAAACGGCGGCCGUAACUAUAACGGUCCUAAGGUAGCGAAAUUCCUUGUCGUCUAAUUAGCGACCCGCAUGAAUGGCGUAACGACUUCUGUACUGUCUCGGCCAUAAUCUCAGCGAAAUUGUAGUGCUGGUGAAGAUGCCAGCUUCCCGUUGUGGGACGGAAAGACCCCGUGCACCUUUACUAUAACCUAGCACUGGAUUUUGAUGUUAAAUGCGUAGGAUAGGUGGGAGACUAUGAAAGUUCAAUUUUGGUUGGGCUGGAGUCGUUGGUGAAAUACCACCCUUUUGAUGUUAGGAUUCUAACUUUAAUCCGUUAUCCGGAUUGAGGACAAUGUUAGGCGGGUAGUUUGACUGGGGCGGUUGACUCCUAAAGAGUAACGGAGUCGCUCAAAGGUUCUCUCAGCCUGAUUGGAAACCAGGCGUCGAGUGUAAUGGCACAAGAGAGCUUGACUGUGAGAUUGACAAAUCGAGCAGGUACGAAAGUAGGACAUAGUGACCCGGUGGCUUCCAAGUGGGAGGGCCAUCGAUCAUCGGAUAAAAGGUACGCCGGGGAUAACAGAUUAAUCGCGCCCAAGAGUUCACAUCGACGGCGCGGAUUGAUACCUCGAUGUCGGCUCAUCGCAUCCCGGGGCUGUAGAAGGUCCCAAGGGUUGAGCUGUUCGCUCAUUAAAGCGGUACGCGAGCUGGGUUCAGAACGUCGUGAGACAGUUC